rnacentral:rRNA from 1 species
UACGUAGGGGGCUAGCGUUGUCCGGAAUUAUUGGGCGUAAAGAGCUUGUAGGCGGUUUGUCGCGUCUGCUGUGAAAUUUCGGGGCUCAACCCCGAACUUGCAGUGGGUACGGGCAGACUAGAGUGUGGUAGGGGAGACUGGAAUUCCUGGUGUAGCGGUGAAAUGCGCAGAUAUCAGGAGGAACACCUGCGGCGAAGGCGGGUUGCUGGGCUGACACUGACGCUGAGGCGCGAAAGCCAGGGGAGCGAACGGG